UUUUGACCUCGGAUCAGGUAGGGAUACCCGCUGAACUUAAGCAUAUCAAUAGCCCGGAGGAA
rnacentral:rRNA from 1 species